rnacentral:rRNA from 1 species
UAGGGAAUAUUGGUCAAUGGAUGGAAGUCUGAACCAGCCAUGCCGCGUGCAGGAAGAAGGCCUUCUGGGUUGUAAACUGCUUUUGCCAGGGGAUAAAAAUUCCAUGCGUGGAAGAUUGAAGGUACCUGGUGAAUAAGCCACGGCUAACUACGUGCCAGCAGCCGCGGUAAUACGUAGGUGGCAAGCGUUGUCCGGAUUUAUUGGGUUUAAAGGGUGCGUAGGCGGCUUUGUAAGUCAGUGGUGAAAUAUCGCAGCUUAACUGUGAGGGUGCCAUUGAUACUGCAGAGCUUGAGUACAGAUGAGGUAGGCGGAAUUGACGGUGUAGCGGUGAAAUGCUUAGAUAUCGUCAAGAACACCUAUAGCGAAGGCAGCUUACUAGGCUGUAACUGACGCUGAGGCACGAAAGUGUGGGGAUCAAACAGGAUUAGAUACCCUGGUAGUCCACACUGUAAACGUUGAUUACUCG